rnacentral:rRNA from 1 species
UACGUAGGGGGCAAGCGUUGUCCGGAAUCAUUGGGCGUAAAGCGCGCGUAGGCGGUCCGGUGAGUCCGCUGUAAAAGUCCAGGGCUCAACCCUGGAAAGCCGGUGGAUACUGUCGGGCUAGAGUCCGGAAGAGGCGAGUGGAAUUCCUGGUGUAGCGGUGGAAUGCGCAGAUAUCAGGAGGAACACCGAUGGCGAAGGCAGCUCGCUGGGACGGUACUGACGCUGAGGCGCGAAAGCGUGGGGAGCGAACAGG